AAACAAAUGGACAAGCCUGUUCAUGGCUUCACUUCAUUCUCUUGGAUCAACAUGGAGAAGACUGAAAUCCAGAUGCCAUGAUUCAGCACAUUGCCUGGAAUGAGAUACUUCACCAGCAAGAUACACUCACUCGCUCGCUCAUCUUCAGAACAGCUUCAUCCUCAUAAGGUUGCUGUAAGUUAGCUCCUAUCCCACGGUGCACCCUGGACAGGUUACUGGUCCAUCACAGGACCACACAUAUUCAGACAAUCACUCACCCUUGCACAACAACAUACGCAAACACAGUUACAUCGAGUUGCUCUUCUACU